rnacentral:rRNA from 1 species
UACGUAGGGGGCUAGCGUUGUCCGGAAUCAUUGGGCGUAAAGCGCGCGUAGGCGGCCCGGUAAGUCCGUUGUGAAAGUCAAAGGCUCAACCUUUGAAAGCCGAUGGAUACUGCCGGGCUAGAGUCCGGAAGAGGCGAGUGGAAUUCCUGGUGUAGCGGUGGAAUGCGCAGAUAUCAGGAGGAACACCAAUAGCGAAGGCAGCUCGCUGGGACGGUACUGACGCUAAGGCGCGAAAGCGUGGGGAGCGAACAGG